rnacentral:misc_RNA from 1 species
UUUCCGUAGGUGAAUCUGCGGAAGGAUCAUACAUAAUAAAGUGUUUUAUGGCACUUUUUAAAAAUCCAUAUCCACCUUGUGUGCAAUGUUAGAUCUCGUCAAUCUUGGCGAGAUUUUUAUACAUCAACUCAUUCUUUAACUAAUUUGUCUGAAAAAUAUUAUGAAUACUUAAUUCAAAAUACAACUUUCAACAACGGAUCUCUUGGCUCUC